GACACGCCCUGACUGAAUGCCUCGCUAGCCAUUCUUAGCAAGAGCCCUCAAUUUCGAGCGGACUCUUAGUCCCUCUCUCGUAGCUGAUCCAUCCGUCUUCUUCUCCUUCACACCUUCGCCAUCUCCCAUCUCCUUCACGACUUUGCUGUUUCAUCUGAGUUUGAGCAGGACGAGAGGUUCUCAGCAAUAAUGGAAAGGCCUCCCCUAACCUCAAACUCUUCAUGGGUAACCUUCCCUUCAGCAUUGAUAGCGCUCAGCUCACUGGUAUCUUUGAGAGCACUGGAAAUGUCCAAAUGGUCGAGGUGAUAUAUGAUAAGACGACCGGAAGAAGUAGAGGAUUUGGGUUUGUGACUAUGUCAAGUGUUAGCUGAAUCUGCUACUCACCAGCUAAACGGCUAUUUUGAGCUUCCACCUGGGGUGGAGUCUGCUUUACUACAAGAAAUUUUGAACAUAACACAUGAAAAACCUGAGUUCAUUGUCUCUGGAACAACAACAAGAAGUAAUAAAGCUCCAACAGAUGCUUCGGUGAGAUCAGAUUCAGCCAUUGUAGCAGAGUCAUAAAUGGCAGUUUUGAUGCAACAAGUUGUUAUAUGUGCAAGCACCAACUUGCUUGCUAGAGCAACAAAAGGCGUAGUAUUGAUUCAAUCGAUUUUGAUUAUUUGUAACAGUAUGUUUACGUAAAUAGUUGAUUCAGAGGAUCUACAGUGCAGGAGUACUAUCGUAUACGUGCUCGAAUCCAAAUGUAGCAAUGAUCAAGGCUCGGCUGUCCAUUUGCCAUUGCACCUCACACAUCAUUGUAGUCUUGAAAUUGAAUGCAAUCAAAUCAAAAGUGAAUAAUUAAGAAAAGCAUUCUAAACCCUGUCAAUUGUUAGGAAAACACCUUUGCUAUAUUGAUGUUUGGAGCAAUACUAGAAUCAUGUAUGUUUCUUUUGUUGGUAAGAAAUUUGGUUUUUA